AGAGAGUGUACACACCUUCAGAACAUCCCCCUUUGAUAAGGAUAGCUGUAGAUCAGAUUCCCACCGUCCAAAAAAUGGGGCUAAAUCAGGAUUACUACUAUCCAUUAGUAUCCCAUAUAACUGUGAGAUUAGCUUGCAGUGAAUAUGAGGC